GCCUGCCUAGCUCAAUCGGAUAGAGCGUCAGACUUUUACGUAAGCGUGUCACGUGAGCAAUAAUCUGAAGGCUGCGGGUUCGACCCCCGCGGUGGGCU